rnacentral:rRNA from 1 species
UACGGGGGGAGCAAGCGUUGUUCGGAUUUACUGGGCGUAAAGGGCGCGUAGGCGGCCACCGCAAGUCAGUUGUGAAAUCUCUGGGCUUAACCCAGAACGGUCAGCUGAUACUGCGGGGCUAGAGUGCAGAAGGGGCAACUGGAAUUCUCGGUGUAGCAGUGAAAUGCGUAGAUAUCGAGAGGAACACCUGCGGCGAAGGCGGGUUGCUGGGCUGACACUGACGCUGAGGCGCGAAAGCCAGGGGAGCAAACGGG